rnacentral:tRNA from 1 species
ACUUAAGUAGUUUAAUUAAAAAUAUUAAUUUGUGGGGUUAAAGAUGCAUGGAUUUAGUUGUUUUAAGUA